AGAUGAUCUGCAGGAUCCUUCUGCUCAUCAGCCUGACCUCCUGUGUCUCUGGAACAUUUGUAGUGAAAGUGAAACAGACCUCCUAUCAGGCAGAGGAGAACCACAACAUCACACUGGAAUGGAUGUUUACAACCAAACCUGACAGUUCCUCCACCUCACUGAUCAUCUACUGUCGACUGUUCACUGAUCAGAAGGACUCAGUCCUGUAUCAUGUACAUGAUGGUGUUGAGGUCUCAGGAUGAACAGUUUGCAGGACGAGUUCAGAGUGACAAAGACGCCCUCAGAGAAGGAAGAAUCAGACUUCAUGUGUCCAGACUCAGGACUGAAGAAUCGGGUCUGUACUGGUGUGAGGUGGAAACAAAUGAUGGUGUGAGCUCUGACAGAUGCCACCUCAAUGUCACUGCAGCUGUUGAUCAGCCCAAAUCUCAGAAACCUGUUGUGAGUCCACAACCAGAGAGUCGGGGAAGGACCGA